rnacentral:rRNA from 1 species
UACGAAGGGGGCUAGCGUUGUUCGGAAUUACUGGGCGUAAAGGGCGCGUAGGCGGUGUGUCAAGUCAGGCGUGAAAGCCCCGGGCUCAACCUGGGAACCGCGCUUGAGACUGGCACGCUCGAGUUCGGGAGAGGAUGGUGGAAUUCCCAGUGUAGAGGUGAAAUUCGUAGAUAUUGGGAAGAACACCGAUGGCGAAGGCAGCCAUCUGGGACCGACACUGACGCUGA